GCACGCAGACUUUGAGGUCAUUGGGAUGUCACAGAUGUUCGAUGCUCCUCCAGGCACGCAGACACAGGGGGAAUCUAGCCAGGCCGUGCAGACUCCGGCUCCUCCACGUCAGCAACGUCGUGGCCGUGACCGGACCGACGUUGGUAGCGCCAAUGUUGUGCCCACGGAGCCUGGACGCGCACGACGCCACAAUGAACCGUUUAGCCCUCCAGAGCAACACGGUCGCCGCCGCUAGAAGGCCGCCGUCAACCUAUUCGUAUUUGUAAUGACCCUCGACAUUAGAAUUUGUGAUGGACUAUUUGUGCAUGUGAUGGUCUAGUAGUGCUUGUGAAGGACCAUUUGUGCUUGUGAAGGACUAUUUGUGCUCGUGUUAAACUUACUGUGCUUCUAGCUUUGUGA